rnacentral:siRNA from 1 species
UAGGGUUUCCAUGAUUUUGCUCA